UACAGAGGUCUCAAGCGUUUGUUCGGAUUCAUUGGGCGUAAAGGGUGCGUAGGUGGCGCGGUAAGUCGGGUGUGAAAUUUCGGAGCUUAACUCCGAAACUGCAUUCGAUACUGCCGUGCUUGAGGACUGGAGAGGAGACUGGAAUUUACGGUGUAGCAGUGAAAUGCGUAGAGAUCGUAAGGAAGACCAGUGGCGAAGGCGGGUCUCUGGACAGUUCCUGACACUGAGGCACGAAGGCCAGGGGGAGCAAAACGGG
rnacentral:rRNA from 1 species